rnacentral:rRNA from 1 species
GCAUAUCAAUAAGCGGAGGAAAAGAAACCAACAGGGAUUGCCCUAGUAACGGCGAAGUGAAGCGGCAACAGCUCAAAUUUGAAAUCUGGCCCUCGGGUCCGAAGUUGUAAUUUGUAGAGGAUGUUUUUGGUGAGGUACCUUCCGAGUUCCCUGGAACGGGACGCCAUAGAGGGUGAGAGCCCCGUCUGGUUGGAUACCGAUCCUCUGUAAAACUCCUUCAACGAGUCGAGUAGUUUGGGAAUGCUGCUCUAAAUGGGAGGUAUAUGUCUUCUAAAGCUAAAUAUUGGCCAGAGACCGAUAGCGCACAAGUAGAGUGAUCGAAAGAUGAAAAGCACUUUGAAAAGAGAGUUAAAAAGUACGUGAAAUUGUUGAAAGGGAAGCGCUUAUGACCAGACUUGGACUUGGUUGAUCAUCCUGGGUUCUCCCUGGUGCACUCUUCCAGUUCAGGCCAGCAUCAGUUCGUCGCGGGGGAUAAAGGCUUCGGGAAUGUGGCUCCCUCGGGAGUGUUAUAGCCCGUUGUGUAAUACCCUGCUUUGGACUGAGGUUCGCGCAUCUGCAAGGAUGCUGGCGUAAUGGUCAUCAGCGACCCGUCUUGAAACACGGACCAAGGAGUCGUCUUCGUAUGCGAGUGUUCGGGUGUUAAACCCCUACGCGUAAUGAAAGUGAACGCAGGUGAGAGCUUCGGCGCAUCAUCGACCGAUCCUGAUGUUCUCGGAUGGAUUUGAGUAAGAGCAUACGGGGCCGGACCCGAAAGAAGGUGAACUAUGCUUGUAUAGGGUGAAGCCAGAGGAAACUCUGGUGGAGGCUCGCAGCGGUUCUGACGUGCAAAUCGAUCGUCAAAUAUGAGCAUGGGGGGCGAAAGACUAAUCGAACCUUCUAGUAGCUGGUUUCCGCGA